ensembl:lncRNA
CCACCACCGUAAAAACCGAGAGCCCCCACCCCUCAAGCAAAAAAAGAAGGGGAAAAGGGAGACAGAUGUGUGCAGAGUGGAGCAGUGCUCGCAGCGGCGGGGCUUAAUUACCCGUCGAUCCUCUCGGCGUGCUUCCGGCUUCCUCUUCCUCCCUGGUGUUUCAGCGUCGCGCGCCCUCCCGCAGAUGGAGCUCCGCGCGGCUGGCACGCUGCCACUGUGGAUCCGGGGAUGAGCAGGCCUCUGCGCGCUUUUUCAGCCGCUGAUGGAUGGAUGGAAGGAUGGAUGCUAACCCGGUUUCUUUCUUUCCCUUGGUGAGCAUCCUUCCCUUCUUUUUUAUUUCAUAUCCGCAUGUCUAAAAUCCUGCUUCUGACUCUAAUGUUUGUCUUGAAAUAAAAUACAAUUCUAAUCUUGAUUUGUUUGCAGGCCCAAAUUAUUACCCUAGUAAUACAUUGUUUAUGUUUUUUAAUUAAACACAUUUAUUGACUUUUUAAUUUGAAUUUGUAGUCUCUUCCCUGAAAAUAUUUAAAAUAUUUUGUGCUAAAAACGAAAUUUAUCCGCAUUCCUAUAAAGGUUAUCUUCAAUAAUAAUCAUUUGCUGAGUCUUGAGUUAAUUUUCUCCUAAUAUCCCCAUCUUUCUCUCCCUUCAUCAGCCUCUCCAUCACUCUUCUACUUCUACUUUUGCUGACUCAGAGCAAACAUUGAGCCGCGUGACAGCCAUCACCUCCCUGGCUCUCAGAAUGUAUGUGUGUGUGGAAGAUGUGGUGGAUUGGAGGGACAGGCCGGUGCUCUGUAUGUGUGGCAGAGAGAAAGAUAUCACCGUGACAACGCUGAGGGCUUUUUUUUUUCUAUAAAUCAGGGCAGAGUCCAUCUGAGCUGAAACAAAACGGAGGUGGAGGGGUGGAGCGGCGUGUCUCUGGCGUCUGGAGCUGCUGAGAUUCAACACAGUCAGCGUCUCUUCGGCUCAGCUUACCUACAGUACACACACACACACACACACACACACACAUGCACGCAGUGACACACACUUCAUAAACAGACUGCAGACAAACACAGAAGCUUGUGGCUUCUCAUCCUUUUCAUCAAACCCAUACCAUGACCUCAACCUCCUUCCUCUGCUUCUUAACACCUGACUGCAGUGGGGGUUUCACUGUCUUUUUGUAAUCUGAUUACCUGCUAACUUUUGUAACUAUUUCUACCAAAGAGCGUCCCACCAGCUUUGACUGUGAGUUUUUUUUUCUUGUUGAGCUUCUUGCUGAAAAUUUCUGCUUAUUCAACUGAGACCUCUCUUUAUAAUCAGACCAGGAAUAAUGAGCCCCUCGAGAUGAGUGCAAAGCUGGAAAAAGGAAUCUGUUCAUGCAUAAAAAGUGUUAAAAAUGUAGCAUCCAGGUUGGAAAACAAACGUUUUUUUUUUUUUUUCUAGGCGUGUAACAUUUAUGAAUCGAUUAAUGUUCCUACGAUCCAGCCAGAUUGAUCUGUCUGAGGCAAGUUGUUAAGCAAAUUGACCUAUACCAUUAUAAACUCAUUUCAAAAUGAAAUUAAUCAAAUUUUGGGAAAUUCCAUUUGGAUUGAGGCAUAGUAGAUUUACGUAAAAAUGACCAAUACCCAUCACAGCGGACAACGAACGGGAUGGCAGCAAAAAAUGAUCAAACCAUCAUUACAGUCCAAUUGGGCGGAACGAUAUGAAAGUUAAAAUGUGAAUGUAGGCCAAUAACUCUUGUUUACUUGUUUGUUUGUAAAAAUUUGAAUUCACAGUUGAUUAUCUAGCAAGAAAUAUAAGGAAUCUUGGAAACUCCUGCACUGUUCAGCACUAGGUAUUUGUCUAUGAGUCACACUGGUUGAAGUUUUGGCCAAAUAUCGAUUCAAGGUCAGGGAAUCACAUCGUUCAAAACAACCAAUAUCGACUACAAAUCGGAUCAGCGACCACAAAUUAUGAUAUGAAUCCAAUCGUUAAAAGGAAUGGUGACCCCUCUUUGGAUAAAAAAAAAAAAAAUUCUAAAAGUUCUUAAUGGUUUAGUCACAGAAGUUGGCAAAUCAUCUGUUUAUUUCUGUUAAAUCCUAUUCUUGCAGGUCAAUCUGCAGAUACUUCAGGUUAUUUUAUUUCUUGAGCACAUACAUUGCAGCUUUGACUGUCGUUUCUUGUCCUACUUUUUUGAUUGGAGUCGGUCCUAUUCUUGUUUUUCAGGAGAUAGAUAACCAUUUUAACUCUUUUAAUUGAAAUGAAAGAAAAUCAAGCUUAAUUAAAGUGAUUUUUCAGAAUUGUCUUCUUAUAAAACUUCCUUCUCCUUCUUUCUCAUAAAUUAGUAGUUGAAACAUUCAUUUUUGGAAGUGUUGGAGCACAUUGGGUUACCCUGGCUGAUGUUUGGAGCAAAUCUAUUGAAAAACUCUGUUUUAGCUGUUAGAUUUAGUAGAUCUUUGUUGCAGCUACAGAGAUAUUUUUGUAGGAGCAAUCUCAACUGCAGGAGACAGCAGUUCUAGGUUAGCCAUGCUAAUCUCUAGGUGGGCGGCUGUGGUGUGAAGCUAGAGGGGUUGACCUUAUAUCGGAGGAUCACAGGUUUGGUUUCCACCUCGCCUCCCUAUGUGUCAGAGUGACCUUGGGCAAGACACUGAACCCCACAUAGCUCCUGGUGUUUCCAGGUUGGUGCCUUGUAGGCAGCAGAGCUACCAUCGUUGUGUGUGUAGGCAUAUGUGUAUGGGACUGUGACUGUAAGUAGAAAAGAGUUAUAUUGGCAUACACAAUUUUCCAUUCAGUAUGGAUAUGUCUGUGAA